GACGAACGCUGGCGGCGUGCUUAACACAUGCAAGUCGAACGGAAAGGCCCUGCUUUUGUGGGGUGCUCGAGUGGCGAACGGGUGAGUAACACGUGAGUAACCUGCCCUUGACUUUGGGAUAACUUCAGGAAACUGGGGCUAAUACCGGAUAGGAGCUCCUGCUGCAUGGUGGGGGUUGGAAAGUUUCGGCGGUUGGGGAUGGACUCGCGGCUUAUCAGCUUGUUGGUGGGGUAGUGGCUUACCAAGGCUUUGACGGGUAGCCGGCCUGAGGGGGUGACCGGCCACAUGGGGACUGAGAUACGGCCAAGCCCCCUACGGGAGGCAGAGGGGGGAAUUAUGGCAGAGUGGGGGGGGGCCUGAGGCGGCACCGCCGGGGGGGGAAGGGCGGCUUGGGGUUGAAAAACCGUUUCCGCUUGGGAGGAAGGGGGAGGGAGGGUAGUGGAAAAGAAAGCCCCGGCUAACUACGUG
rnacentral:rRNA from 1 species